CGCUACGGACUUGAAAAUCCGUUGGCUUUAUUGACCGUGAGGGUUCAAGUCCCUCUACCCCC
rnacentral:tRNA from 1 species